rnacentral:rRNA from 1 species
UACGUAGGGGGCAAGCGUUGUCCGGAUUUAUUGGGCGUAAAGAGUGCGUAGGUGGUGCCCUAAGUCUGUUGUGAAAUCUCCCGGCUUAACUGGGAGGGUGCGGUGGAAACUGGGGUGCUUGAGUGUGGGAGAGGUAAGCGGAAUUCCUGGUGUAGCGGUGAAAUGCGUAGAUAUCAGGAGGAACACCGGUGGUGUAGACGGCUUACUGGACCACGACUGACACUGAGGCACGAAAGCGUGGGUAGCAAACAGG